CAGGAUCUGCCGUGCAGCCCUAGACAGAGCUUUGAGCCAUCCUAGGUAAAAAUAAAGGUGAGAAAGAUCCAAGGAGAACAAUGCAAACCCAUCUGCCCUCUGUUCCCCACUCCUUGUCAAGCUUCAUUUCACCCCAGUGCAAGAACGGAAUCCACACAUAGGCAGAACAGUUGUCUGGAGAGCAAGGGUAGACUUAGAUCAUUCUUCUACACCAAAAAUGUAGGGGCCAAGUGUUGAUGUUUUCUGAAAAUGUUCUUUGGAGGAUGGUCCAGGGAAAGACCGGGUGACCGAGAGUGGCUCAGCUAGUCAUUCUGCUUACUUUGAAGCCAGGAAGAGUUUUUCAUUUGUGUGUGUGUGGUUUGGGGACCAUCAAAUACAUAUUCAUUGAACCAGUAGAUCAACACAAAGUUGCUCAAAGUGUGGAAUAUAAACUGAUGUUUGCCCAGGAAUCAUUUGUUACCAGUCUGUGGUGGUAAUUGAAGAGAGUCUGAGAAGCACUGCUUUAGAGCACCUGUUACAGGGACCCUGGACCUCAAGAGGACUUGGGAUCGACCUCCCCACCAAACUGACUGAGGACUGUGUAUUCUGCUGAUCUUCUGCAUAGCAACAGACCUGGUUUACCUUCAGAGACUCAUCAAACUAUCUGAGAGAAUGCAAUUCCUUUAAGAUCUCUUUUCUCUGUGUGUGUGUUUUUAAAUAUACUCUUGCAUUUUAGUAGUUAAUUGAGAUGGGAUUCAUGCAUGAGAGAUUUACUGAAUUUGUAUCUGAUUAGCCAGGGCCACUUUAUACUCUGUAAUUGUAGAUGUGGUUUUUAAACUGACAAUUGUAAGUUUGCAUGUAUUCUUUUUCUCCUAACUCUGUUUAGACUUUGUAUUCAGGAUAGAAAUUACCUUUUCUAAGAAGUUUUACCAAGCUGAGUGUAAAUCUAUAAUACCUCAGCAGUAAAACAAUCCCAGAGGGAUAAUUUUGUGCAACCAUUUCAAUCUUGAUACCAAUUAAAAUGGUAUGAUCUAUCUCACCGCCAUCACACAAAACAGGUUUCUAUGCCAUCUCCUCACCUCUUGCUUAGAGAAAACCAUCAGAUUGGUUCUAUUACACUCAGAUUUAAGAUCAAACAUCUUUUUUUCAGAGCUUUAUGGAUUCUAAUAACAAUAGAAAGUACUGAAAUAAGCCUAUUUUCGUGGCUGCCUUUCAAUCAGUAUGUAACACACUUUCCAUUUUGUCUUCACCAGAAAUAAAUUGUACUUUAAAUCUCUGCUCUCCUUAAAUAUUUCAAAUAUGUGGGAUAUGAUAUCAUCUCUAAAAAGGGAACUUCUUUAGAUGGCAUUGUUAGGAAGCCUUAGCAAAAGCAUUUUGCAAGCUAGUAACAUAAUUCUAGAACAGGUUUUAUUGC
rnacentral:lncRNA from 1 species